rnacentral:lncRNA from 1 species
ACCUUUGCCUCCCGGAUUCAAGUGAUUCUCCUGUCUCAGCCUCCCUAGUAACUGGAAUUACAGGCGCCUGCCACCAUGCCUGGCUAAUUUUUGUAUUUUUAGUAGAGAUGGGGUUUCACCAUGUUGGCCAACCUGGUCUUGAACUCCUGACCUCAGGCGAUCCACCCACCUCAGCCUCCCAAAGUGCUAGGCUUACAGGCAUGAGACACCGCGCCCGGCUUAUAUAUCAUUACUUUCUUGGCUGAGAGCUGUAGUCUGUGGUAGUUGUUUUGUUUUGUUUUUUGUUUUUUUUUUGUAGUUUUCUUGAUCGUGAUCAAUUAAGCAGAAAGUAGAAUUUCAGUCAGGUAACCUGUCUAUAUUAGCUAAAUUAUCUUUUGCUUAUUACAUAGAGUGCUAGAAGUAUGCUGUCAUGGCAUAUGUCCUAGUUUCUCAUCAAAUGGACCAAAGUCAGUGAUUUUAUUUGAAGAGGAAAAAUUGAACGUCAUUGUAAAUUAAGUUGCAAGUUUAGUAACCAUAUUGUACCACUGUUUGAUAAAUUUGAACGCUUUAUGGUAUUUCAUAUUUAGAAUGUUCAAAAUAGUACUGAAGUAUUCAAAUACAUACAACCCUGAGCGAUAUUGAAGUAAAAUAAACAUGUAUUUAAGGAAGUGUCAACCUUCAAUUAUAUACCUUUUUGUCACUGAAUUAACACUUAUUUCUCACGACGUGGAAGCAGUUUCAGUAUGGUUUGUACUAAGCUAAGUGAUAGUUGUCAUCUGUAUGACAAUUUAGAAUGUUUUCUGUGUCCAUUUGUGAUCAAAAUUAUAUGUUGCUUUGUGUGAUAAAACCUGGUGGUGGUAGUAACUUUGAACACACUUUUUGAACUUAAUUUUGUAGUUAAUCUUAUCCUGAUGAGUAAUUCUAAAACUUAUGACCACUACUAGAAAUGAAGCAGUUUUUUGUGUGUGUGUGCCAUCACAGUAUAUACUGACCUUGGAGCUUUCCUAGUGCUCUCAGAGCCAUGAAAAUAUCCUUUCACACAAAUUUUCUCAACUUACCCGUAACAUCGCUUUGAGUUUCAGUCAUACCUAGAGUUGGAAAGUCGUCAAAUUAGUCCUCUGUCCUCAAGUAUCUGUAAGUCUGAAGAAUUUAGGUAAGUUACUUACCUUAAAAUCAUUGCCAAUCCUUUAAACUCUAUUUGGAUGGCUGUGAAAUAUUUUAACAUUAGGGUUAAUGUCAUAAAUCCCAUUCUUUUUUUUUUUUUGAGACCGAGUUUUGCUCUGUCAUCCAGGCUGGAGUUCAGUGGUGUGAUUUUGGCUCACUGCAACCUCCGCCUCCUGGGUUCAAGGGAUUCUGC